UUUCCGUAGGUGAACCUGCGGAAGGAUCAUUACAACAAGGUUCCCCGGCCCUCGAAGCUUCGGCGGAGGGGUGCUACAGCCUGACUUUAUACCCACCCUUUGCCUAUGUGUACCCCUAUUGCUUCCCUCGGCGGGUUCGCCCGCCGACAGGAACCAACUAAACCCUUUGCAUUAUACAUUUAACACUUCCGAUACGAAACUAAAUUAUUACAACUUUUAACAAUGGAUCUCUUGGUUCUG
rnacentral:misc_RNA from 1 species